rnacentral:rRNA from 1 species
AUUAUUAUGAUAAAUUAAAAUUUUAAUUUCCCGAAGCCGGGCGAGCUAAAAAAAAAUUACUACUAGUUUAUAAAUUAAAUGUAGCAUUAUUUAACUAUUAUUUUUUUUUAGGGGUGAUAGGCCUUUCAAGCUAGGCGAUAUCUGGAUAAUUAGGAAAAAUAUUUAGUAUAUUUAUAAUUUAGAAAUGGUGAGGUUUCUAAAAAGAAUUAUUAAAAAUUAAUAUUUAAUUAAGUGGAUAAAUCCUUAAAUUUUAAUUAGACUAAUAUAUUAUAUAUUGAGAAUAUUUUCUUUACUAGUUUUUUUUCAAAAUUAUUUAUAAAAUUAAAAUUGUAUAUAUUAGUAUGUUAUUUAUAUUUUUAAAAGGAACUCGACAAAAAAUUUCUGGACUGUUUACCAAAAACAUAGCCCCAAGAAAUUAUUUUGGGUAAAUCCUGCUCAAUGAAAAUUUAAAUAGCCGCAGUACCUUGACUGUGCAAAGGUAGCAUAAUCAAUUGGCUUAUAAUUGAAGUCUGGAAUGAAUGGAUUUACUGGAAAUAAUUGUCUAUUAAAAAUAAAAGAAAUUACUUAAUAAGUGAAAAUUCUUAUAUAUAUAUAAAAGACGAGAAGACCCUAGAAAUUUUUUAAAAAUUUCCUAUAAUUAUUUUGUUGGGGCGACAAGGUAACAAGUAACUUACAUAUUUUAAUUGGAAUUUUAUUUAAAGAAUAAAUAAAUUACUCUAGGGAUAACAGCAUUAUUUUUUUAAAAGGUUGUGACCUCGAUGUUGGACUAGGAAAACUUUUAUUUAGAAGAUAAAAAUAUAGGCUCUGUUCGAGCUAUUUCUCCUACAUGAUCUGAGUUCAGACCGG